rnacentral:rRNA from 1 species
UACGUAGGGCGCAAGCGUUGUCCGGAAUUAUUGGGCGUAAAGAGCUCGUAGGCGGCUUGUCGCGUCGGUUGUGAAAGCCCGGGGCUCAACCCCGGGUCUGCAGUCGAUACGGGCAGACUAGAGUGUGGUAGGGGAGAUCGGAAUUCCUGGUGUAGCGGUGAAAUGCGCAGAUAUCAGGAGGAACACCGGUGGCGAAGGCGGAUCUCUGGGCCAUUACUGACGCUGAGGAGCGAAAGCGUGGGGGAGCGAACAGG